UACGUAGGGUGCAAGCGUUGUCCGGAAUUAUUGGGCGUAAAGAGCUCGUAGGCGGUCUGUCGCGUCGGCUGUGAAAACUCGGGGCUCAACUCCGAGCUUGCAGUCGAUACGGGCAGGCUAGAGUUCGGCAGGGGAGACUGGAAUUCCUGGUGUAGCGGUGAAAUGCGUAGAUAUCAGGAGGAACACCUGUGGUGUAGACAGCUUACUGGACCAUUUCUGACGCUGAGACACGAAAGCGUGGGUAGCAAACAGG
rnacentral:rRNA from 1 species